CUACGGGGCGCUGCAGUGGGGAAUAUUGGACAAUGGGGGAAACCCUGAUCCAGCAAUGCCGCGUGUGUGAAGAAGGCCUGCGGGUUGUAAAGCACUUUCGGUUGGGAGGACUGCUUCUAGCACUAAUAUUGUUGGAAGUUGACGUUACCUUCAGAAGAAGCACCGGCUAACUCCGUGCCAGCAGCCGCGGUAAUACGGAGAGUGCAAGCGUUAAUCGGAAGUACUGGGCGUAAAGCGCGCGUAGGCGGCUAGAUCAGUCGGGUGUGAAAGCCCCGGGCUUAACCUGGGAACUGCAUCCGAUACUGUCUAGCUUGAGUACAGGAGAGGAGAGUGGAAUUCCACAUGUAGCGGUGAAAUGCGUAGAUAUGUGGAGGAACACCAAUGGCGAAGGCAGCUCUCUGGCCUGAUACUGACGCUGAGGUGCGAAAGCGUGGGGAGCAAACAGGAUAGAUACCCUGGUAGUC
rnacentral:rRNA from 1 species